rnacentral:rRNA from 1 species
UACAGAGGGUCCCAAGCGUUGUUCGGAUUCACUGGGCGUAAAGGGGUGCGUAGGUGGUGAGGUAAGUCGGAUGUGAAAGCUCCGAGCUCAACUCGGAAAUGGCAUUGGAAACUACCUUGCUCGAGGGUUUGAGGGGGGACUGGAAUACUUGGUGUAGCAGUGAAAUGCGUAGAUAUCAAGUAGAACACCAGUGGCGAAGGCGAGUCCCUGGAAAACUCCUGACACUGAGGCACGAAAGCUAGGGGAGCAAACAGG